GUGCAAAGGUAGCAUAAUCAUUUGGUUCUUAAAUGGGAUCUUGUAUGAAAGGGUUAACGGGGGGCAUCUUUUUUUAGGGUAUAAGUUUAAUUUAGAGUUUUUGUUAUAAUACAAAAAUUAAAUUAAGGGACGAUAAGACCCUAUAAAGCUUUAUUUUAUUAAUAAUUAAAUAACUAAAUUUAAUUUUUGUUAAAAUUUUACUGGGGCGGUAGCUUAUUAAACUAGGUAAUAUUUUAUUGAUCCAUUAUUGAUGAGAAAUUGAUUAAGUUACUUUAGGGAUAACAGCAUAAUUCAUUUAGGGAGUACAAAUCGAAGAAUGAGAUUGUGACCUCGAUGUUGAAUU
rnacentral:rRNA from 1 species